rnacentral:tRNA from 1 species
AUAAAGAUGGCAGAUAAGUGCGUUAGAUUUAAGCUCUAAAUAUGAAAAAAAUUAAUGUUUUCUCUUUAUA